rnacentral:lncRNA from 10 species
AGAUCACAGCACUGCACUCCAGCCUGGGAGACAAAGCCAGACUCCGUCUCAAAAAAAAAAAAAAAAAAAAAAAAAAAAAAGGAAAAGAAAAGAGGAAAUUCUGAACCCAGUGCCCGCUCCUUGCAGAUCUGCGAACAGUGGCACCAGCCUCUAGUCUCAAUGUGAGGUUUGACUCCAGGACGAUGAAUUUAAGCUGGGACUGCCAAGAAAACACAACCUUCAGCAAGUGUUUCUUAACUGACAAGAAGAACAGAGUCGUGGAACCCAGGCUCAGUAACAACGAAUGUUCGUGCACAUUUCGUGAAAUUUGUCUGCAUGAAGGAGUCACAUUUGAGGUUCACGUGAAUACUAGUCAAAGAGGAUUUCAACAGAAACUGCUUUAUCCAAAUUC